UCGGGCGUGGUGUAUGGCACACCCUCCCUCCCACUUAGGAGUAGCUGCGAUCAAGUUUGAUGGGAGAGACCCAGGUUCGAUUCCUGGCGCCCGAA